UGGGGAAUAUUGCACAAUGGGCGCAAGCCUGAUGCAGCAACGCCGCGUGAACGAUGAAGGUCUUUGGAUCGUAAAGUUCUGUUGCAGGGGAAGAUAAUGACGGUACCCUGUGAGGAAGCCCCGGCUAACUACGUGCCAACAGCCGCGGUAAUACGUAGGGGGCUAGCGUUAUCCGGAUUUACUGGGCGUAAAGGGUGCGUAGGUGGUCUUUCAAGUCGGUGGUUAAAGGCUACGGCUCAACCGUAGUUAGCCUCCGAAACUGGAAGACUUGAGUGCAGGAGAGGAAAGUGGAAUUCCCAGUGUAGCGGUGAAAUGCGUAGAUAUUGGGAGGAACACCAGUAGCGAAGGCGGCUUUCUGGACUGCAACUGACACUGAGGCACGAAAGCGUGGGUAGCAAACAGG
rnacentral:rRNA from 1 species